rnacentral:rRNA from 1 species
CGCGUAGGUGGCAUGAUAAGGGUGUGGUGAAAGCCCGGGGCUCAACCCCGGGUCGGCCAUGCCGACUGUCACGCUAGAGUACUGUAGGGGCAGGCGGAAUUCCGGGUGUAGCGGUGGAAUGCGUAGAGAUCCGGAGGAAGACCGGUGGCGAAGGCGGCCUGCUGGGCAGUUACUGACACUGAUGCGCGACAGCGUGGGGAGCAAACA